rnacentral:rRNA from 1 species
GCGAGUGAAGCGGGAAGAGCACAAAUUUAAAAUCUACCUGGUUUCCAGGUCGAGUUGUAAUUUGAAGAAACGUUUUUGACGUUCCGGGUUGGAAUAAAUCCUUUGGGAUAAGGUAUCAUGGAGGGUGAGAAUCCCGUGUACACCAACCGCAGGGAUGUUAUUUAAUACGUUUUCUAAGAGUCGAGUUGUUUGGGAAUGCAGCUCUAAAUGGGUGGUAAAUUUCACCUAAUGCUAAAUAUAAGCGAGAGACCGAUAGCGAACAAGUACCGUGAGGGAAAGAUGAAAAGAACUUUGAAAAGAGAGUUAAAUAGUACGUGAAAUUGUUGAAAGGGAAACGAUUGAAGUCAGUCAUGCUGGCGGGAAUCAAUUUAGGGGAAACUCUAAGUGCACUUCACGCUUGGCAGGUCAGCGUCGAUUUUAGAUGUCAUAAAAUGAUUGGGGGAAGGUAGCUCCUUCGGGAGUGUUAUAGCCCUUGGUAGAUGUGAUGUCUGGGAUCGAGGAUUGCAACGGAUACCCUUUGGCUAGCCGCCUGAUCUCUAACUGAUAUUGGGUUACGGACAGCACGCUGACCGUGAUCUAAUUAUUGGUUAAAAGGUUAGAGCGAGUGUAAAUUCGUUAAGGACGC